rnacentral:lncRNA from 1 species
CUCAGCGCCAUCCUCCCCAACGCCAUUCCCCCCUCAGUCCAGCCCGGCCCGGGCACCUUAGAACUUUCGCCUGCUGGCCUAGCUUCCACUUGUCCCGGCAGACGCGCGUGGGGUCCGCGUCCGGCGCUGCCUGCUCCACAGCCCUGCUCCGGCGAUGCCCUGUUUCCUGUUCAACAAUAUAACCGGCGGAGAGCGCUCGGCAGAACUUCCUCCCAAGCCGGGACUGGGCUGUGCUUGCAAGAGACAAUCCCCGGUGUCCUGGCUUCCUGUCCCCUCUGGGCCGGGCCAGCGCUCUAGGAGUAGAGACGCCACCCUUCCCCCUCUUCCCCGGGAUCCUGGGCCACACCUGGCUGUCUCCGGGGAGGAGGCGGUGGCAGGGCCUGGAUGGAGAUCUGCGGGGGAUGCAGUUUCUCUCAGCUUCUGACCAGAUUACACUCCCACUGACCCUCAUCCUUGUCGGAGGAAGUCACCGGCCACUCUGCAGGCGGCCGCAGUGUAGUUGCGGGAUCCUCCCAUUUUGGAAACUACCUGCCUCUUGGGAAAGCAGCCUUAGCACUCUGAGGUGUGCCUGUGAACACUUCUGACAAAGGAGGCACUUUCUGGGGAUGAGAACUCCAGAUUGCCCAUCCCCCUCUAGACAGAGGAAAGGGGAAACUGCCCUCAGAGGCACUGUGCUGAAGGUGGAAAGACUGAACCAAAGACAACAGCAGCAGCAGCAGCAGCAGCAGCGCAAGUGCCAGGCGCCUCCUGCCCCCAACCUCCAAAUCCAGUUCCUCUCUCUUUUCUCUGAGCCUAGACCCCUGAGAACCUGCCUCAAAGAUGGCCAAGGAGCAUCCACCCACUGGCUGAGGGUACUCAAGGCCAGGAAACGAAGCCCUGGAUGUUGUCUUUUUCUGUCCCAUUUUCCUGCAACCUGGUUUCCCUAGGAAUUAA